GGCGUGCACUGGUCCGGCGGGAUCUUUCCUCCUGGGGAGCCCUAUGGCCUUUACUGACUGUAGGGGGAACCAGGACUUUUACUGUGAAAAAAUUAGAGUGUUCAAAGCAGGCCUUUGCUCGGAUACAUUAGCAUGGAAUAAUAGAAUAGGACGUGUGGUUCUAUUUUGUUGGUUUCUAGGACCGCCGUAAUGAUUAAUAGGGAUGGUCGGGGGCGUCAGUAUUCGGCUGUCAGAGGUGAAAUUCUUGGAUUUGCUGAAGACUAACUACUGCGAAAGCAUUCGCCAAGGAUGUUUUCAUUAAUCAGGGAACGAAAGUUAGGGGAUCGAAGACGAUCAGAUACCGUCGUAGUCUUAACCAUAAACUAUGCCGACUAGGGAUCGGACGGUGUUUUUAUGAUGACCCGUUCGGCACCUUACGAGAAAUCAAAGUUUUUGGGUUCUGGGGGGAGUAUGGUCGCAAGGCUGAAACUUAAAGAAAUUGACGGAAGGGCACCACCAGGCGUGGAGCCUGCGGCUUAAUUUGACUCAACACGGGGAAACUCACCAGGUCCAGACAAAAUAAGGAUUGACAGAUUGAGAGCUCUUUCUUGAUCUUUUGGAUGGUGGUGCAUGGCCGUUCUUAGUUGGUGGAGUGAUUUGUCUGCUUAAUUGCGAUAACGAACGAGACCUUAACCUGCUAAAUAGCCCGACCCGCAUCUGCGGGCCGCUGGCUUCUUAGAGGGACUAUCGG
rnacentral:rRNA from 1 species